ensembl:snRNA U6 U6 spliceosomal RNA
GUGCUCUCUUCAGCAGCUUGUAUUCUGUAAUCGGAAAAAUGUGAGAGAAGAUUAACAUGACCCCUGCACAGGAUGACAUGCCAAUCCAUGAAGCAUUCCAUAUUUAA